UCUCCGUUGGUGAACCAGCGGAGGGAUCAUUAAAGAGUUCUAUAACUCCCAAACCCAUGUGAACAUACCUUACGUUGCCUCGGCAGGUCGCGCCUACCCCGUAACGUCCUACCCUGUAGGACCUACCCGGUAGACGCGGGUGAGCCUGCCGGCGGCCCACGAAACUCUGUUUAAUAUUGAAUUCUGAACCUAAAACUAAAUAAGUUAAAACUUUCAACAACGGAUCUCUUGGUUCUG
rnacentral:misc_RNA from 1 species